rnacentral:rRNA from 1 species
GAUGAACGCUAGCGGCAGGCUUAAUACAUGCAAGUCGAGGGACAGCACAGGUAGCAAUACUGGGUGGUAACCGGCAAACGGGUGCGGAGCACGUACACAACCUUCCUUUAAGUGGGGGAUAGCCCAGAGAAAUUUGGAUUAAUACCCCGUAAUAUAGUUGAGUGGCAUCAUUUGAUUAUUAUAGCUACGGCGCUUAAUUAUGGGUGUGCGGCUGAUUAGAUAGUUGGCGGGGUAACGGCCCGCCAAGUCUACGAUCAGUAGCUGAUGGGAGAGCAUGAUCAGCCACACGGGCACUGAGACACGGGCCCGACUCCUACGGGAGGCAGCAGUAAGGAAUAUUGGUCAAUGGACGCAAGUCUGAACCAGCCAUGCCGCGUGAAGGAUUAAGGUCCUCUGGAUUGUAAACUUCUUUUAUUUGGGACGAAAAAGGGCCUUUCUAGGUCAACUGACGGUACCAGAUGAAUAAGCACCGGCUAACUCCGUGCCAGCCGCCGCCGUAAUAC